AGCAGCCGCGGUAAUUCCAGCUCCAACAGCGUAUAUUAAAGUUGUUGCAGUUAAAAGCUCGUAGUUGAACUUCGGAAUCAGUAUGUUGGUCGUGCUUCGGUACGUACUGUCAUUACUGGUUUCUACCUUCUGAAGAACCUUGAUGUCAUUAAUUUGGUGUCUUGGGGAAUCAGGACUGUUACUUUGAAAAAAUUAGAGUGUUUAAAGCAAGCAUACGCUUGAAUACAUUAGCAUGGAAUAAUGAAAUAGGACGUUUGAUUCUAUUUUGUUGGUUUCUAGGAUCGACGUAAUGAUUAAUAGGGAUAGUUGGGGGCAUUAGUAUUCAAUUGUCAGAGGUGAAAUUCUUGGAUUUAUUGAAGACUAACUACUGCGAAAGCAUUUUGCCAAGGAUGUUUUCAUUAAUCAAGAACGAAAGUUAGGGGAUCGAAGACGAUCAGAUACCGUCGUAGUCUUAACCAUAAACUAUGCCGACUAGGGAUCGGAUGAUGUUAUUUUUAAUGACUCAUUCGGCGCCUUACGG
rnacentral:misc_RNA from 1 species